rnacentral:rRNA from 1 species
GACGAACCGUGCGAACGUUGUUCGGAAUCACUGGGCUUAAAGGGCGCGUAGGCGGGUCAGCAAGUCAGGGGUGAAAUCCCACGGCUCAACCGUGGAAGAGCCUGUGAUACUGCUGGUCUAGAGGGAGGUAGGGGCGUGCGGAACUUCCGGUGGAGCGGUGAAAUGCGUAGAUAUCGGAAGGAACGCCGGUGGCGAAAGCGGCAUGCUGGGUCCCUUCUGACGCUGAGGAGCGAAAGCGUGGGUAGCGAACAGG